UAAGAGCGAGAGAGCAUCGAGAGGGACGC
rnacentral:sRNA from 1 species